GUGCUCACUUCAGCAGCACACAUACUAAAAUUGGAACAAUACAGAGAUUAGCAUGGCCCCUUCACAAGAAUGAUAUGCAAAUUCGUGAAGCAUUCCAUAUUUUG